rnacentral:rRNA from 1 species
GUUAAAAAGCUCGUAGUUGGAUCAGAGUUGGACGUGCACGUGGCCCUAUUUGUCUGCUUGGCUCCGGUCAGGUAGGCGGUAGCCGGAACAACCCCGUGCGCCAAACUGUCCACUCUAACAGACCGAAACGGUUCCCUGUGAGUAGGUUCCUUAAUUGGGACUGAAAGCGCCUACGCAUCAACCAUAUGCAUACGGGACGUCGGUCAAUGUUACUGUGAACAAACCAGCGUGUCCAAAGCAGGCUACCGCCUGAAUGUUCGAGCAUGGAAUAACAAGGGAUCGAUUCUCUUGGUUCUUUUUGUUGGUUUUUAACCCGAGAAGGAGUAAUUCAGGCCACGGUGUCUGAGUUGGGUUUCCCUGGGCUUCGGCUUAGGCCCCAAUUAGGCCGUGUCCUUACGGGAUCAAUAGGGACUGACGGGGUCGUACCUACCUCCGCGUCAGAGGUGAAAUUCUUAGAUCGCGGGAAGAGGAACUUCUGCGAAAGCAUUCGACAAGAAUGUCUUCAUUAAUCAAGAACGAGAGUGUGGGGAUCGAAGAUGAUCAGAUACCGUCGUAGUCCACUACUGUAAACAAUGCCGUCUCAGGAUUGAGAGUGAACAGAAUGACUUUCACAGCACUAACC